GGGUCGGGCGCGGUGCUGCACUGCGCGUCCAAAGGUCACACCGCCGUGGCACCGCUCCCGGCACCGCG
ensembl:miRNA gga-mir-12255 gga-mir-12255